rnacentral:tRNA from 1 species
GGGAAUGACCUUGCUCAGUUGUAGAGCAUCUGCUUUGCAUGCAGAAGGUCUCAAGGUUCAAUCCCUGGCAUCUUCA